GCCGUCUUGUCGGAAUUGGUAGACGAGAAGGUCUCAAAAACCUUUGUCCUUCAGGACGUCCGGGUUCGAUUCCCGGAGACGGUA
rnacentral:tRNA from 1 species